rnacentral:lncRNA from 1 species
UAACGUGGAUUUGGACGAUAAUAGGUUUUUAGUUUGUGAUGUUUCAUGUGAUGAUCAUUUUUAUGUUCAUCGUCUUUGAAUUGACAUGAGGAUAUCUAUGAAAAAGUAACUAAUCUGAAAGUAAGCCAACAUAUCGUUUGUUCUUUGUGUGCUAACGAAAAGAUUUUCUUUUCGCAUCAUGAGGAAGUAUUACAUCAAUUAAAAAAUGUUAGGAAGUUGAUUACUUGUCAUGGAAAAGUAUACCAAUGGAAAUUGCUUGUAAUAGAAGUAACUCUAAGGGUUUAGAGAAUAAAUUGGUUGAACGCAAAAUCUGGAGGAAGUACCUUUUUCCAUACACAGAAUAUGCCCAUCAAGAAUACUAGUCCAAAUUUGCUUUAAUGGUAGACAAUUAUUCAAUACAAAUUAACUUUUUAAGUGACUUAAAUAUUAAAUAGUUUAGAAUAUGGUAUAACAAUGU